rnacentral:rRNA from 1 species
GACGAACGCUGGCGGCGUGCCUAAUACAUGCAAGUUGAGCGCUGAAGGUUGGUACUUGUACCAACUGGAUGAGCAGCGAACGGGUGAGUAACGCGUGGGGAAUCUGCCUUUGAGCGGGGGACAACAUUUGGAAACGAAUGCUAAUACCGCAUAAUAACUUUAAACACAAGUUUUAAGUUUGAAAGAUGCAAUUGCAUCACUCAAAGAUGAUCCCGCGUUGUAUUAGCUAGUUGGUGAGGUAAAGGCUCACCAAGGCGAUGAUACAUAGCCGACCUGAGAGGGUGAUCGGCCACAUUGGGACUGAGACACGGCCCAAACUCCUACGGGAGGCAGCAGUAGGGAAUCUUCGGAAAUGGACGAAAGUCUGACCGAGGAACGCCGCGGGAGUGAAGAAGGGUUUCGGAUCGUAAAACUCUGUUGGUAGAGAAGAACGUUGGUGAGAGUGGAAAGCUCAUCAAGUGACGGUAACUACACAGAAAGCGACGGCUAACUACGUG